rnacentral:lncRNA from 1 species
AUCUAUCCUUCUGCAAAAGCUCCAGCUGAAUACUCAAUGCAGGCUUCUUCUGGAGAUUACAUACUGUGGAACACCUUAGGAAAAUGUCCGACAGCAGCGUUGCCUAGAGAAUUAUGACUGUUUUCCAGCAUACGAUGCCAUCACAUUUUUGUGCCUGUCUUUUGCUGCUUGUACAGACUUCAGAGCUGUCCACGUUGUUCCUCCUACCAGAUCUGUGAUGGGAAGUUUUUGACAUUUGUAUUUAGUUCUCUUUUACCGAGGAGAAAAUCUAUGAACCUACAGAUCUUGUUGUCUGAAGCCCAAUGACGAGAUACUUAUCUUGAAGCCAUAACCAUAAUCUUAUCAGCAAUGUGAUUUUUUUUUAUUGUCAUUUAUGUUUGUUCUAUAGAGGUAGUUAAGUUGGGU